CCUACGGGUGGCAGCAGUCGAGAAUCAUUCACAAUGGGGGAAACCCUGAUGGUGCGACGCCGCGUGGGGGAAUGAAGGUCUUCGGAUUGUAAACCCCUGUCAUGUGGGAGCAAAUUAAAAAGAUAGUACCACAAGAGGAAGAGACGGCUAACUCUGUGCCAGCAGCCGCGGUAAUACAGAGGUCUCAAGCGUUGUUCGGAAGCACUGGGCGUAAAGCGUGCGUAGGCUGUUUCGUAAGGCGUGUGUGAAAGGCGCGGGCUCAACCCGCGGACUGCACAUGAUACUGCGAGACUAGAGUAAGGGAGGGGGAAGCGGAAUUCUCGGUGUAGCAGUGAAAUGCGUAGAUAUCGAGAGGAACACUCGUGGCGAAGGCGGGUUCCUGGACAUUAACUGACGCUGAGGCACGAAGGCGAGGGGAGCGAAAGGGAUUAGAUACCCUAGUAGUC
rnacentral:rRNA from 1 species